CACCCGAAACCCGGCGAUCUAGCCAUGUCCAGGAUGAAGCAGGGGUGAAACCCUGUGGAGGUCCGCACCGACGUUCGUUGAAACGCCCGCGGAUGAGAUGUGGCUCGUGGUGAAAUUCCAAUCGAGCUGGGUAAUAGCUGGUUCUCCCCGAAACAUCUUUAGGGAUGGCCUCGUGUGUUUGGCCCCGGAGGUAGAGCUACUGGAUAGAGGAGGCCCGAGCGAUCGGGUUCCCCUCUGACCAAACUCCGAAUGCCGGGAACCUCAAGCACGGGAGCCAGUCGGCGGGAGACAAGUUUCGUCGACAAGAGGGCAACAGCCCAGACCGCCGGAUAAGGCCCCUAAAUCCACGCUGAGUGUGUAAGGAUGUGGAAACGCUAAGACAGCCAGGAUGUUGGCUCAGAGGCAGCCAUCAUUCAAAGAAUGCGUAACAGCUCACUGGUCAAGCGUUUUUGCGCCGAAAAUUUACCGGGGCUAAGCGUAGUGCCGAAUCCGCGGAUUCAGUUUUUAACUGAGUGGUAGGGGAGCGUUGUUAGUGGGGUGAAGGAUGACUGUGAAGACAUUCUGGACUACUAACAAGUGAGAAUGCAGGCGUAAGUAGCGAUGAAGGGUGAGAAUCCCUUCCGCCGAAUGACUAAGGUCUCCAGGGCAAGGUUCGUCCUCCCUGGGUCAGCCGGGAGCUAAGGUCAGGCCGAAAGGCGUAGCCGAUGCACAAUGGGUUAAGAGUCCCAUGCCCCGACAUAUUUUGGCUUGGUAGUGACGGAUCCGGAAUGUAAUACCAGCGAUCGGAUGUGCUGGGCCUCCUAUGGGAUUGGGAAAGGUAACACCUUUCCAUCAUGUCCUGUAGGCGGGGAGGAAACCAGGGAUGGGAGUACGAAGUUUAUAGGAAGGGUCCCGGGAAAAGCUGCUAAGUGUCGUAUGUCGAGCCCGUACCGAGAACGGACACACGUGGUCAGGUCGAGUAGACCAAGGCGAGCGAGAUAACUGUUGUUAAGGAACUCUGCAAAAUUGCUCCGUAAGUUAGCAAGAAGGAGCGCUCCCCUCCGGGGGAGCCGCAGUGAAGAGGCCCAGGUAACUGUUUACCAAAAACACAGCUCUAUGCGAAGGCGCAAGCCGAUGUAUAUGGGGUGAAGCCUGCCCGGUGCCGGAAGAUCAAGGGGAGGGGUCAGCCGCAAGGCGAAGCUCCGAGCCGAAGUCCCGGUGAACGGCGGCCGUAACUAUAACGGUCCUAAGGUAGCGAAAUUCCUUGUCAGGCAAGUUCUGACGCGCAUGAAUGGUAUAAUAAUCUGGGCGCUGUCUCGACAGCAGACUCGGCGAAAUCUUAAUCCCUGUGAAGAUGCAGGGUGCCCGCGACUAGACGGA
rnacentral:rRNA from 1 species